rnacentral:rRNA from 1 species
AUACGGAGGGUGCGAGCGUUAAUCGGAAUUACUGGGCGUAAAGCGCGCGUAGGCGGUUUGGUCAGUCGGAUGUGAAAGCCCCGGGCUCAACCUGGGAACUGCUUCCGAAACUUCAUAGCUCGAGUCCCGGAGAGGUUGGCGGAAUUCCGAGUGUAGAGGUGAAAUUCGCAGAUAUUCGGAGGAACACCAGUGGCGUAGGCGGCCAACUGGACGGGUACUGACGCUGAGGUACGAAAGCGUGGGGAGCAAACAGAAUUAGAAACCCUAGUAGUCC